rnacentral:ncRNA from 1 species
GUAUAUGUUGAAAGGAGAUUUGGUUGGCAUCUGCACUGGUAGGGAUGGCAAUGGCCUUCAAGCUUACCUGUUAUGGAAUACACAGUAUUAAGAUUAAAAUUCUGUCCGCAUUUUAUU